AAUGAACGCUGGCGGCGCGCCUAAUACAUGCAAGUCGAGCGAGAAGACGUAGCAAUACGUUUGUAAAGCGGCGAACGGGUGAGGAAUACAUGGGUAACCUACCCUAGAGUGGGGAAUAACUAGCCGAAAGGUUAGCUAAUACCGCGUACGCUCCUUGGACUUCGGUUCAGGGAGGAAAGCGAUGCCGAGGGUAUCGCGCUCUUGGAUGGGCUCAUGUCCUAUCAGCUUGNGGUGAGGUAACGGCUCACCAAGGCUUCGACGGGUAGCUGGUCUGAGAGGACGAUCAGCCACACUGGCACUGCGACACGGGCCAGACUCC
rnacentral:rRNA from 1 species